GAACUCAAAGGAGACUGCCAGUGAUAAACUGGAGGAAGGUGGGGAUGACGUCAAGUCAUCAUGGCCCUUACGACCAGGGCUACACACGUGCUACAAUGGCGCAUACAAAGAGAAGCGACCUCGCGAGAGCAAGCGGACCUCAUAAAGUGCGUCGUAGUCCGGAUUGGAGUCUGCAACUCGACUCCAUGAAGUCGGAAUCGCUAGUAAUCGUGGAUCAGAAUGCCACGGUGAAUACGUUCCCGGGCCUUGUACACACCGCCCGUCACACCAUGGGAGUGGGUUGCAAAAGAAGUAGGUAGCUUAACCUUCGGGAGGGCGCUUACCACUUUGUGAUUCAUGACUGGGGUGAAGUCGUAACAAGGUAACCGUAGGGGAACCUGCGGUUGGAUCACCUCCUUACCUGAAAGAAGC
rnacentral:rRNA from 1 species